CCUACGGGCGGCUGCAGUGGGGAAUAUUGCACAAUGGGCGCAAGCCUGAUGCAGCCAUGCCGCGUGUGUGAAGAAGGCCUUCGGGUUGUAAAGCACUUUCAGCGGGGAGGAAGGCGUUAAGGUUAAUAACCUUGUCGAUUGACGUUACCCGCAGAAGAAGCACCGGCUAACUCCGUGCCAGCAGCCGCGGUAAUACGGAGGGUGCAAGCGUUAAUCGGAAUUACUGGGCGUAAAGCGCACGCAGGCGGUCUGUCAAGUCGGAUGUGAAAUCCCCGGGCUCAACCUGGGAACUGCAUUCGAAACUGGCAGGCUAGAGUCUUGUAGAGGGGGGUAGAAUUCCAGGUGUAGCGGUGAAAUGCGCAGAGAUCUGGAGGAAUACCGGUGGCGAAGGCGGCCCCCUGGACAAAGACUGACGCUCAGGUGCGAAAGCGUGGGGAGCAAACAGGAUUAGAUACCCUAGUAGUC
rnacentral:rRNA from 1 species